rnacentral:RNase_P_RNA from 1 species
AAAGUCGGCCAGGCAAUCGCCGGAUGUCCGGGGGCAACCCUGGCGUCGGGAGGAAAGUCCGGGCUCCGCAGGGCAGGAUGCCAGCUAACGGCUGGGCGCCAUAAGCCGCAAGGCCAAAGCGACGGACAGUGCAACAGAAAGCAGACCGCCGAUGGCGCCGCAAGGCGCACAGGUAAGGGUGAAACGGCGAGGUAAGAGCUCACCGCGUCCACGGUAACGGCGGACGGCACGGCAAACCCCAUCCGGAGCAAGACCAAAUAGGGAAGCAUGGGCGUGGCCCGCGCUGCUUCCGGGUAGGUUGCUUGAGCCUGCCGGCGACGGCAGGCCUAGAGGAAUGAUUGCCGAACCUCGCAAGAGGGGAACAGAACCCGGCUUAUCGGCCGGCUUUCCGA